GUCCCGACCGACGGCAGCGACGGAGCGGGCGGCGGCGGCGGCGACGGGGGCUCGCUCAGUCCCCAGUCUCAUACACCACGAGCAGCAGGUCGGAGCAGCCUCCCAGGGAGGAUGUCCAGCAGCAGUCCUCCUCUCUCCAGCCCUUGGGGAUCUUCCGCUGAGGCAUUGAAGACUGGAGGAAGGGGUCCGUCAUCGGCUCGCCGGGCUCCGCGCCACCUCUGCGAUCUUGCGGAAAGAGGAGCGGGUAAACGGAUCACCCCACCCAGCCCCAACACACACAAGCAGCAGCGCUCGUGGGCCGUUCAACUCUGAAAGGAGUUGCUGAAGAAACAGCACCGGAAGAGCCCGGCGUGUGAAAGGAGAAUAAAUGAACACCGAGGAAUGGUAAACAGGGGCAGCAGCGCGGGGCUGGCGCGCGGGUGCGGGGAGUCCCUCCCAGGACGCUGCCGCAGCACCUCCUCCCCUCCCAGAGGCGUCCCGCCCUCCCAGGCCUCUGCGGACUGCUCGCCGGAGCACAGUUGCGCCAGCCAGACCUCCAGCACAGAGGCGGUCCAAGCCCUGCUACUGCCCUUGCGGCCCCGGACCCUGCGCCUCCGGCUUCACAGCCCCGACUGCACUCCAGUCAGGGAGGAUGGCGACGAGGCGCUGGGGGUGGGGAAAAAUCAGGGAGGCCGGCAGCCGACCCACGCUGUGCUGCGAAGACUGGGGUCUCCAUUAAAGGCCAAGAGGAAGGAAGGGUCUUAAGAGAGGCUGGAGAGCGCUCCAGGCUGGGGUGCUGCUGCUGCCGGCUCCCGGCCGCCACGUCCCUGCACCUGCUGCUGCGGCCUGGGACGCCCACGUGCGUGCGUGGGUGCGGGCGGGGUGUGGGUGCUCCGCGCGCUCCUGCCACAUUUUCCCCAUCAGAGCGCCGAGAGAAGGUGGAGGUCUCCUACCAAGACGCUGGGAUGAGGGGCAAUGAGAUGACCCCCAAGUCCAGAGGGGAUCCCCAGAACCGAACGCAACCUUCAAGACUCCAGCUACCAAGCUGUUGGUUCCUCGAUCUCCAGGAAGCUGCAACUCCUUAAUGGUGGGGUUAAACAUGGUGCCCAAGAAGAGGGUGCGUUCCAUGAAGUACCAUGGAAGAUAAUGCAGAAUUAAAGCUUCUUGGCCCCAAUUAAGGGUCAUUGGUUUCCUCUUAUCUUGCAACUUCAAAACAAUGGCAGAAUAAACCAAAGGAAGAUGUAUGAAGACAUAUCCCAAGGUUGAAAGUCGAAAAUCUCCGUGAAAGUACAAGUAUCAAAUGACAACAUUCAUUCACGCCUACUUUUCAGAGAAAAUAUGUUUCCAUCCUAGAUGACAAAGAGAUUUAACCAUACUUA